UACGUAGGGGGCGAGCGUUGUCCGGAUUUAUUGGGCGUAAAGAGCUCGUAGGCGGUUUGUCGCGUCUGCCGUGAAAGUCCGGGGCUCAACUUCGGAUCUGCGGUGGGUACGGGCAGACUAGAGUGAUGUAGGGGAGACUGGAAUUCCUGGUGUAGCGGUGAAAUGCGCAGAUAUCAGGAGGAACACCGAUGGCGAAGGCAGGUCUCUGGGCAUUAACUGACGCUGAGGAGCGAAAGCAUGGGGAGCGAACAGG
rnacentral:rRNA from 1 species